CUUUUCUGAUCUUCAGCUUGAACCCCAAUAUGUGUCCCUGGGUUUUUAUUAUUUAUGUUGUUAGACCCCAGGAAAACUCAAGUAUCCGGGGUCCCAGGCCACGACUGUAGUCACCCCAAUCACCAGGCGGAUUCGAGAGCUUGAUGCAAACUGCACGAGGCUUUAUUGUAAUUUAACGAGCUAACCCCAUGUUAGCUCGGGUCUUUCACCCGACUUCGGUCACCCCAAUCACCAGGCAGAUUCGAGAGCUUGCUGCAAACUGCACGAGGCUUUAUUGUAAUUUAACUAGCUAACCCCAUGCUAGCUCGGGUCUUUCACCCACCCGCCAUGGCGGAUGGCUAGAAAAGACAGCUCGAACCCGCUGUGUACCGAUCUUGUAGGGCAGCCUAAGGGGAGUGUCUAGGGGUAUGCACAGGCUCACGAUUGGUGUGCCUCCAGGCUUGGAGGGCUUGCCCUGUGUUGAUUGGUCAACUGGUUGUUAUGGCCCAUAGGCCCUCCCAGGGUGGUUGCUAUGCUUUGUGCGUCAUUGCUGUGCACUUGUCCGUAAAGCACACCCAGGGUCGUAAAGCAUAGCGCCACCAGCUAACUUCUGAUUGGUUCCUUGUCACAAGGCAGACAUCUGACUUUCUAGUGACUAACUUCUGAUUGGUUCCUUGUCACAAGGCAGGCAUCUGACCUCUAAGUGACCAAGGCAAGUUUAUGGCAAGCAUGUGUUCGGCUGUUAUUGCUGCCGAAAGGGGAGCUGGUCCCUUCACACCGAAGACUAAAGGCACAACAAUGGCAUUUCCUAUCACAUGCCCACUGGGUUCAUUGGUACAGGGAACUACAGACUGGAUGACAGUGGCUUUCCAUUGGUUUAGCCAAGCCAUAGCUCCAAAUGCACCUGGGACAAUCUCUACCAAAGCAGACCAAUAAAGCGUUUGACACUUGGUGUGCAGCACUGCACUAGUGAGUACAGUCUUUUAAGUUCUCAUCAAGGGCUAGGUAUGAUGACACACGCCCACCCCACCCCCCACCUCCCUGCUUUUUUUUUUUAAAUGGUGUUUCGAGACAGGGUUUCUCUGUGUAACAGCCAUAGCCAUCCUGGAACUCACUCUAUAGACCAGGCUGCCUCUGCCUCUUGAGUACGGGGAUUAAGGGCAUGUGCUGCUGCCUCCACCGAUGCCAUCGCCACAACCACCACCCAGCUCAGGUGGCACACACCUUUAAUUCUAGUACUCAGGAGGCAGAGGCCAGUGGAUCUCUGUGAGUUCAAGGCCAGCCUGUUCUAUAGAGUGAGUUCCAGACCAGCCAAGGUUAUAUAGAGACCUGUGUCAACCCUCGCCCACCCCUAAAUUAAGUCCUUAUCAGUAAGGAAAUUCAAAGUUAUUUUGUUCAUGAAUGGGGAAAACAGCAAUGUAGAUUUCUUGCCUUGCCCAGGUGGGUGGUGCUAAUUCUGUCACAAUAUAGCCACAGGGUCCUUGAUCAUGCUGUCAUUCUACAGUGCAUAAUACUAAUUGGAUCAGAACAAAAUAUAAGGUAGAUGAGAGAGAAAUCUCCCUUCCCCUAAAAUUUAGAGCUCUGUCAUAGAGAUGAAAAUAUUGUGAGGAUCCACUGGUCUGAGAUAGGAUACUGUAUCCCAACUAUCCCUUGUUUCUGAGAAAAACACAUAGCAUUGUACACCAUUGAUUCAUCCAUUUUGUGGUUCAAAUACAUAUCAAGGAGAGACUUUGUAGCAGAUCGAUGCUGUGGGCCAAAAUGCCCUGUGUGCAGGAAGGUUAUUCAUGGUAGAUAAAGAUGCCUGCCGUGUGGAGUCUAUUGAAGGUUUGCUAUUAGAAUUUCAGGACAGAGCCAUGGAAACCUAGUGCAAGGGUAUUCCUUUUGUAAUGAAUUACCCUUAGCUACUCAUUGGAAGAAGAGUCAUUUAAAGGACAUUGUGGAAUUGACCAUGAGACAUCAAAUGACUUUGAAGCUGGAGCUGCCUUUCAAGUAUGAUGGAAGGUUACUGGGAGUAGAUCCAAAGAACACAAGGCAAUUAAGUGAACACAUGGCCAGGAUCCCAGUGUCUUCCUCCUCUGCUGUAUCAGAGUCAGUUUCUCAGAUCAUGCCAUCGCCUUUGUAUGAUAAACUGAUGGAGGAAAAAUCUUGUGCCUUGGGGUGAGCUAGAAGGAACCACAGUUACAUCAGUAUGGGCUCCCAAACAGUAGCACGGGAAAAUCUUGUCAAUGACCAGAUCUGUGAAUAGGUGUUGUGGCUCGAGUGUGAAAUGCCACCCACAGGUUCAUCUGUUUCAACUCUUGGCUCUGUAUAAAGGUUGUGGAACCUUUUAGAUGUGGGGUCUCUAAUUGGAAGACAUACAGUUGUAGAGGUUACAGCCAAUCUUGGUCCCAGGCUGAGAUCUCUGCUGUUUGAUCCUCCAAGACAUAGAGGAUGCUAAAGCUUAUGCUACCCUGGACACAGCCCCACUUACCACAUCUUGUUCUUUAUGGAACUAUGAGCCAAAAUAGAUACUUAUUCCCUCCAGUUGCUUCUCAUCAGGUAUUUGUUCACAGAGAUGAGAAAACUAACACAACAGGGUAUUGACCAUUCACUUUGUAUGGGAGAGGAAGAGGCAUGAUGUAGCUAUCUUAGCUUUUCAUUGCCAUAAUGAAGUACUUGACUAGGCUAUGUAGACAAGUAAGGAGACAGACAUGUGGCACAUACCUUUAAUUCCAGCACUCAAGAGGCAGAGGCAGGUAGAUAUCUGGGUUUGAGGCCAGUCUGGUCCACAGAGUGAGUUCCAGGACAAUCCUGUCUUGAAAAACAAACAAACAACAACAAUAACAACAAAAACAAAACAAGGAAAGCAAGGAGGUUUUUGGCUUAUGUCUUAGAGGUUCAAGGCUUUCAUAGGGUCAUUUCUGAGGAACGGCAGAUGGUGGGGAGCAUGAAGGAACAAGUGAUUGCAAACUUGUGCCUGCAGUAGGGGAGCAUGGAGUGGGGGAGCACACUUGCUUCUUUCAUGGCAACUUUCUCAGGAACUUCAGAGAGUCAGAAUAUUAUGGCCAUAGUGACCACCCACUAGGCAUCUGCUUUUAGAGAUCCCAUUACUCCUGAUAGCACCAUCCCAGGGGUCCUGCCUUCCUCACCUGGACCUCUGGAUGACUCUAUCUCCAGUUAUAGUGCAUCAAAAACACAUGCAAAGAGCAGGAUAGGGAAUCUGGGGACAAAGAGGCCUGAGUGAGAAGUACUUGGAUGAACUUAUGUGCCUUGGCACAAGAUGUGGUAUCUUUGUGUCUCAAGUCAUUGCUUACCAGAGGGCAUUCACCUCAAAAGAUGCAGUAAACAGCCAUGUGGACAGGAGGACUCCCUGACAGACACCAGUUAGCUUCUGUCUUUUAGAACUCCCAUGAGGCUUUUAGUCAGUCUCUUGGUGACAGAUUGAUUAUAUUGGCCUCUUCUAUCAAGGGAAGGACAAUGCUUCACACUAAAAUUGACAUCUUCUCCAUAGUAGACGUCAUUGCCUAUGAUGUCUCUUCUGGUUCUUCUGUGAAGGCUUACAGAAUGCUUGAUUUAUCCAAUGAGGUUUCUAACAUGGGCCCUUGUAUCAACUCGAAAUAAGGGUUAUCUGUAGCUUUGGAGCCUGUCCUGGAACUUGCUUUGUAAAUCAGGCUGGCCUGGAACUCACAAAUAGGUCUGUCUCUGCUUCCGAAGUGCUGGGAUUAAAAGUGAGCGCCACCACUGCCCGGCCAAUAAGAGUUCUUUGAUUAUGGAUGAGAUUUAAUAGCGGGUAGCUAAAAACAGACCCACUGGUUCUAUCUCAUCUGUCACUCCAACUGGAGCAGCUAUCCAGCUCAAAUUUUGGAAUGGCCAUGCAUAAACUUUUGCACCACCCUGGACAAAACAUUUAGGAUACUCUCCUUCCAGGGCUGCAAGCUAUGCCUUCCACCAACAGCCAGAGUGCACACAUCACAGACUAAAGUGAGAGGAUUAGGUGCGGGUGAGCUUUCUCACACGAUGGCCAUGCCAGUCUUCACAUCCUUGUAAUUUGAGGCUCUGCUAGAUCUGAGGUCUAGGAUCACAGAGAAAGGAUGCUUGAACCUGUGAAGGAAAUAAGAUCUUUUACUAAACCAAAU
rnacentral:lncRNA from 1 species